rnacentral:tRNA from 1 species
GGGCCGGUAGCUCAGUUGGUAGAGCACUGCCCUUUUAAGGCAGGCGCCGCGCGUUCGAUUCGCGCCCGGCUCACUA